rnacentral:sRNA from 2 species
UAAAAAAGUGUGCCGAAUCUAUCAGAAUAGUACGGGGGACGAUUUACAACAUUUGGGGUGAAUGCAGCAGUUAAGAAAUGCUAGAGUACCUUCUACUCGAACCCGACAACUAACCUCGGAGGCAAUUGGAGGAAAUUU